CCUGCCCCAUACCGGGGGAUAACAGCUGGAAACGGCUGCUAAUACCGCAUAAGCGCACAGAGCUGCAUAGCUCGGUGUGAAAAACUCCGGUGGUAUGGGAUGGGCCCGCGUCUGAUUAGGCAGUUGGCGGGGUAACGGCCCACCAAACCGACGAUCAGUAGCCGGCCUGAGAGGGUGAACGGCCACAUUGGGACUGAGACACGGCCCAGACUCCUACGGGAGGCAGCAGUGGGGAAUAUUGCACAAUGGGGGAAACCCUGAUGCAGCGACGCCGCGUGAAGGAAGAAGUAUCUC
rnacentral:rRNA from 1 species